AAAUCAGGCUCAACGUUUCAGUUCUCUCCAAGGACUUUCAUUAGGAUCAUAAAACCUUUUAUGAUCCUGAUGAAAGUCCUUGGAGAGGACUGAAAUGUUGAUCCUGAUUUUAAACUG